rnacentral:lncRNA from 1 species
AAAAACCAAUAAUGACCGCGUUUAUGCAAAAACGUUUCAAAAACGAGAUUAAAAAAGUAAUUACCAAAGCUGGGCCGACGGACAAAUGGGUUUCUUGGUGCAACAGGCGGCAGGAAUCGAUAAUUCCUGGCUGGGUUUGAGGCGAUGGGAGAUAAGGAUGUUUUGCCGUUGGGUUUUGUUGGGAAUUAAAUGCCGCUCCGUGCUGGAGGAAUUAAUUUUCAUUUUCCCUAUGAAGCCGCCCCCCCGGGAGCGCCGGGAGGUCUGGCCUCAGCCCUGCCCGGGGUGGGAGCCUCUGUGGGGGCAGCUCCUGCCUGUGCACACGUGUGUGCAGCCGGAUGUGUGUGCACAUGCAUGUGCUGCAUGAACGUGCACACACUCGUACCCGUGUUUGUGUUUGCAAGCAUAUGCACACGAAUGCUUGCAAACACAGGCUGCAAACACAUUCACACAGGUGCUUGCACGUGUGUAAUUGCAAUACAGGUGUGCAAUACAGGCUUGCAAUACAGGCGUGCAUUUGCAUGUGCUUGCAACUGCUUGCACGUGCUUGCAACCAUUUGCACACACUUUCAGUGCAUGCAUGUUUCAUGGCUGCACACUUGCACAUGCAACACAUGCAUGCUUGCAACACAUGCACAUGCAUUCUUGCAGACUUGCAUACUUGCAACACGUGCAUGCCCGCGCUUGCACAGUUGCAUGCUCUUGCAACACGUGCACACGUGCACACUUGCAACUCAUGCACGUGCAUGCUCACACGCAUGCAACAUGCGCAUGUCUGCACAUUUGCACACUCCUCCACCGCAUGCACAUGCACAGUGCACACACGCAUGUGGCUGCACCCCUGCAUGCCCCCACCCCCCCGCUGUGUGGAGCCUCAGGCCCCCCAUUAGCGGCCGUCCCCUAAUUGCGGCCGUGCCCCCCCGGCCCCGGGCGUUAACUCUGAAGCCUACCGAGGGCGGCCGGGGGGCGUGGCCAGGCGGCGAUGACGCAAGCAGCAGUGGGCGGGGCCUGCUGGUGAUUGGCCGCCGCCGCCUCAUUAUGCUAAUGCCCCGCGCCCGGCCGGGGCCGGCCGGCUGACGUCACCGGGCGGAGGGGAGGAGGGGGGGGGGGAACGAGCGCGGCCGGGCCGAGCCGAGCGGCGCCGAGCGGUUCCGAGCGGUUCCGAGCGGUGCCGAGCGGCGCCGAGCGGGGCGGGCGGGGCGGGGCGCGGC